rnacentral:rRNA from 1 species
UACGAGGGGGCAAGCGUUGUUCGGAAUUAUUGGGCGUAAAGGGCGCGUAGGCGGUUUGACAAGUCUGAUGUGAAAUCUCUGGGCUCAACCCAGAGUCGUGCAUUAGAAACUGUCGGGCUUGAGUAUGGGAGAGGUGAGUGGAAUUUCCGGUGUAGCGGUGAAAUGCGUAGAUAUCGGAAGGAACACCUGUGGCGAAAGCGGCUCACUGGACCAUAACUGACGCUGAGGCGCGAAAGCUAGGGGAGCAAACAGGG